rnacentral:rRNA from 1 species
GACGAACGCUGGCGGCGUGCUUAACACAUGCAAGUCGAACGGUGAAGCGCCUUCCUUUUUGGUGGGUGUGGAUGAGUGGCGAACGGGUGAGUAACACGUGAGUAACCUGCCCCCUUCUUCUGGAUAACCGCAUGAAAGUGUGGCUAAUACGGGAUAUUCUGGGUCUGUCGCAUGAUGGGUCUGGGAAAGAUAUUGUUUCGGUGGGGGAUGGGCUCGCGGCCUAUCAGCUUGUUGGUGGGGUGAUGGCCUACCAAGGCGGUGACGGGUAGCCGGCCUGAGAGGGUUGACGGUCACACUGGGACUGAGACACGGCCCAGACUCCUACGGGAGGCAGCAGUGGGGAAUAUUGCACAAUGGGCGCAAGCCUGAUGCAGCGACGCCGCGUGAGAGAUGGAGGCCUUCGGGUUGUGAACCUCUUUCGCCAGUGAAGCAGGCCUGCCUCGUUUGUGGGUGGGUUGACGGUAGCUGGAAAAGAAGCGCCGGCUAACUACGUG